rnacentral:rRNA from 1 species
GAUGAACGCUGGCGGCGUGCCUAAUACAUGCAAGUCGAGCGAACCGACGAGGAGCUUUCUCCUCUGACGUUAGCGGCUGACGGGUGAGUAACACGUGGAUAACCUACCUAUAAGUCUGGGGUAACUUCGGGAAACCGGAGCGAAUACCGGGUAAUAUAUUGAACCGCAUGGUUAAAUAGUGAAAGACUGUUGUGCUGUCACUUAUAGUGGGAUACGCGCCGCAUUAGCUAGUUUGUAAGGUAACGGCUUACCAAGGCAACGAUGCGUACGCGACAUGAGAGGGUGAACCGCCACACUAGAACUGAGACACGGUCGCGACUCCUACGGGAGGCAGCAGUAGGGAAUCCUCCGCAAUGGGCGAAAGCCUGACGGAGCACCGCGGGGUGAGUGAUGAAGGUCUUCGGCCCGGAAAACUCUGUAAUUAGGGAAGAAGAAAUGCGUAAGUAACAAUGAACGUCUUGACGGUACCUAAUCAGAAAGCCACGGCUAACUACGUG